AGUCGAGCGGAACGAUCCUAGCUUGCUAGGAGGCGUCGAGCGGCGGACGGGUGAGUAAUGCAUAGGAAUCUGCCCGGUAGUGGGGGAUAACCUGAGGAAACUCAGGCUAAUACCGCAUACGUCCUACGGGAGAAAGCAGGGGCUCUUCGGACCUUGCGCUAUCGGAUGAGCUUAUGUCGGAUUAGCUGGUUGGUGAGGUAACGGCUCACCAAGGCGACGAUCCGUAGCUGGUCUGAGAGGAUGAUCAGCCACAUCGGGACUGAGACACGGCCCGAACUCCUACGGGAGGCAGCAGUGGGGAAUAUUGGACAAUGGGGGCAACCCUGAUCCAGCCAUGCCGCGUGUGUGAAGAAGGCCCUCGGGUUGUAAAGCACUUUCAGUGAGGAAGAAGGCUUGUCGGUUAAUACCCGGCAAGAAAGACAUCACUCACAGAAGAAGCACCGGCUAACUCCGUGCCAGCAGCCGCGGUAAUACGGAGGGUGCGAGCGUUAAUCGGAAUUACUGGGCGUAAAGCGUGCGUAGGCGGCUUGAUAAGCCGGUUGUGAAAGCCCCGGGCUCAACCUGGGAACGGCAUCCGGAACUGUCAGGCUAGAGUGCAGGAGAGGAAGGUAGAAUUCCCGGUGUAGCGGUGAAAUGCGUAGAGAUCGGGAGGAAUACCAGUGGCGAAGGCGGCUUCUGGACUGACACUGACGCUGAGGUACGAAAGCGUGGGUAGCAAACAGGAUUAGAUACCCUGGUAGUCCACGCCGUAAACGAUGUCGACUAGCCGUUGGGGUCCUCGAGACCUUUGUGGCGCAGUUAACGCACUAAGUCGACCGCCUGGGGAGUACGGCCGCAAGGUUAAAACUCAAAUGAAUUGACGGGGGCCCGCACAAGCGGUGGAGCAUGUGGUUUAAUUCGAUGCAACGCGAAGAACCUUACCUACCCUUGACAUCGUGCGAACUUGGUAGAGAUACCUUGGUGCCUUCGGGAACGCACAGACAGGUGCUGCAUGGCUGUCGUCAGCUCGUGUUGUGAAAUGUUGGGUUAAGUCCCGUAACGAGCGCAACCCUUGUCCCUAUUUGCCAGCGAUUCGGUCGGGAACUCUAGGGAGACUGCCGGUGACAAACCGGAGGAAGGUGGGGACGACGUCAAGUCAUCAUGGCCCUUACGGGUAGGGCUACACACGUGCUACAAUGGCCGGUACAAUGGGUUGCAAAGCGGCGACGUGGAGCUAAUCCCAUAAAGCCGGUCUCAGUCCGGAUCGGAGUCUGCAACUCGACUCCGUGAAGUCGGAAUCGCUAGUAAUCGUGCAUCAGAAUGGCACGGUGAAUACGUUCCCGGGCCUUGUACACACCGCCCGUCACACCAUGGGAGUGGACUGCACCAGAAGUGGUUAGCCUAACUUCGGAGGC
rnacentral:rRNA from 1 species